rnacentral:rRNA from 1 species
UGGGGAAUAUUGCACAAUGGGGGAAACCCGUGAUGCAGCGACGCCGCGUGGAGGAAGAAGGUCUUCGGAUUGUAAACUCCUGUUGUUGGGGAAGGAUAAUGACGGUACCCAACAAGGAAGUGACGGCUAACUACGUGCCAGCAGCCGCGGUAAAACGUAGGUCACAAGCGUUGUCCGGAAUUACUGGGUGUAAAGGGAGCGCAGGCGGGAAGACAAGUUGGAAGUGAAAUCCAUGGGCUCAACUCAUGAACUGCUUUCAAAAACUGUUUUUCUUGAGUAGUGCAGAGGUAGGCGGAAUUCCCGGUGUAGCGGUGGAAUGCGUAGAUAUCGGGAGGAA